GUGGCGGGAGGGUUGGGGAGCUAGCCGUUCCCUGUAGCCCGAAACCGGCUACACGCGGGGACCCGCUAACCGGAGGGGGAGGCGGAGCCAAUCGGGGGUAGGCCCGUGCCGCUAACAAUGGUCCCCUGCCCUGCCGGGCCGGCGGAGGAGAACCCCCUCUGAAGGGAGGGGGAAAUCCCUCACCACCGAACUCGACGAGGCUCGGAAGAGAGCGGUCGUAAGGUGGACGCGCGGGCGCUGGCAGGAUCACAGGGGCGAGGAAGCGGCGCGGAAACCGCCGUCGAAAGGCCCGUCCACCCCUUCGGGAUGCCGCCAU
rnacentral:SRP_RNA from 1 species